UUUUUUUCUUUUUUUUCUUUUUUUUUUUUUUUGAGAGAGAUACGUAGCAUGCUAUCUACUUCGUUUAUUUCAUUUAGAAUAAACUUAGUCUGUAAAUGUGAAUCAACUAGAAUUCGAAUUUAGAUCUUGGGUACCAACCACCAAACUCUUUGUCACCUGCUCUAGGGACGGUCGGUUAAUCACGAGUUAAACAUGAAUAAAUUAGGACCAGCUUGAGAUCGGCUCGAAUCG
rnacentral:lncRNA from 1 species